rnacentral:rRNA from 1 species
AGUGAACGCUGGCGGUAGGCCUAACACAUGCAAGUCGAACGGCAGCACAGUAAGAGCUUGCUCUUACGGGUGGCGAGUGGCGGACGGGUGAGGAAUACAUCGGAAUCUACUUUUUCGUGGGGGAUAACGUAGGGAAACUUACGCUAAUACCGCAUACGACCUACGGGUGAAAGCAGGGGAUCUUCGGACCUUGCGCGAUUGAAUGAGCCGAUGUCGGAUUAGCUAGUUGGCGGGUUAAAGGCCCACCAAGGCGACGAUCCGUAGCUGGUCUGAGAGGAUGAUCAGCCACACUGGAACUGAGACACGGUCCAGACUCCUACGGGAGGCAGCAGUGGGGAAUAUUGGACAAUGGGCGCAAGCAUGAUCCAGCCAUACCGCGUGGGUGAAGAAGGCCUUCGGGUUGUAAAGCCCUUUUGUUGGGAAAGAAAAGCAGCAGGUUAAUACCCCGCUGUUCUGACGGUACCCAAAGAAUAAGCACCGGCUAACUUCGUG